GUGUCAGCAGCCGCGGUAAUACGGAGGGUGCAAGCGUUGUUCGGAAUUACUGGGCGUAAAGCGCGUGUAGGCGGUCGCUUAAGUCUGAUGUGAAAGCCCGGGGCUCACCCCCGGAAGAGCAUUGGAAACUGGGCGACUAGAGUGUCGGAGAGGAGGGUGGAAUUCCUGGUGUAGCGGUGAAAUGCGUAGAUAUCAGGAGGAACACCGGUGGCGAAGGCGGCCCUCUGGACGAAGACUGACGCUGAGACGCGAAAGCGUGGGGAGCAAACAGGAUUAGAUACCCCUGUAGUCC
rnacentral:rRNA from 1 species